UCCCUGGAGGACUGGUGGUUAGGCCUCGGCUCUCUCACCACUGUGGCCUGGGUUCAAUUCCCGGCCAGGGAA